CCUACGUGAGGCAGCAGUGAGGAAUAUUGGUCAAUGGACGAGAGUCUGAACCAGCCAAGUAGCGUGAAGGAUGACUGCACUAUGGGUUGUAAACUUCUUUUAUAUGGGAAUAAAAUGUUCCACGUGUGGGAUUUUGUAUGUACCAUAUGAAUAAUGAUCGGCUAACUCCGUGCCAGCAGCCGCGGUAAUACGGAGGAUCCGAGCGUUAUCCGGCUUUAUUGGGUUUAAAGGGAGCGUAGGUGGAUUGUUAAGUCAGUUGUGAAAGUUUGCGGCUCAACCGUAAAAUUGCAGUUGAAACUGGCAGUCUUGAGUACAGUAGAGGUGGGCGGAAUUCGUGGUGUAGCGGUGAAAUGCUGAGAUAUCACGAAGAACUCCGAUUGCGAAGGCAGCUCACUGGACUGCAACUGACACUGAGGCUCGAAAGUGUGGGUAUCAAACAGGAUUAGAUACCCUGGUAGUC
rnacentral:rRNA from 1 species